GCCCGGGUGGCGGAAUCGGUAGACGCAGCGGACUUAAAAUCCGCGACUCGAAAGGGUGUGUGAGUUCAAGUCUCACCCCGGGCACAA
rnacentral:tRNA from 1 species